rnacentral:rRNA from 1 species
CUCGUAGUUGGAUCUCGGUGCCGGUCUGGCGGUCCGCCUCGCCGCGGUCUCACUGCCAGUCCCGGAGCCAUCCCGCCGGCCUUCCCUCGGUGCUCUUUACCGAGUGUCUUGGGUGACCGGAACGUUUACUUUGAACAAAUUAGAGUGCUCCAAGCAGGCGCGUCCCGCCCGCAUAGCCCAGCAUGGAAUAAUGGAAUAGGACCUCGGUUCUAUUUUGUUGGUUUUCGGAACCCGAGGUAAUGAUUAAUAGGGACAGACGGGGGCAUUCGUAUUGCGACGCUAGAGGUGAAAUUCUUGGACCGUCGCAAGACGAACUACUGCGAAAGCAUUUGCCAAGAAUGUUUUCAUUAAUCAAGAACGAAAGUUAGAGGUUCGAAGGCGAUCAAAUACCGCCCUAGUUCUAACCAUAAACGAUGCCGACCAGCGAUCCGCCGGAGUUCCUCCGAUGACUCGGCGGGCAGCUUCCCGGAAACCAAAGUGUUUGGGUUCCGGGGGAA